AGAUGUGAGGGCAGCUUGGGUGUGACAUCUGUCACCCACUGAUCACCAGGGCUGACUCAGCUGAUCCUGACUGGCUAGGCGGGUGUCCCCUUCUCCCUCAUGCUCUACGCAUGCCCCUUCCAAAGCUGCACUUGGUGGAAGAGGACAACCACCCCCGAUAGUAUCUGACUAGCUGAACUUUCUUCUAGAACCUCCAAAAAGCUCUCAAGAAAAAGCCAAAGAAAAGAUAAUAGGAAACAGGGAGACAGACCCUUUGCAGGAAGGAAGGUGUCUUGGUUACUUUCUCAUUGCUG
rnacentral:snRNA from 1 species